GUCAUCUUCUUCAAGAGAGUUCUAGAACAAGAAAGAAGAGAAGAGAAGAAACUAGAGAGGGAGAAGGCCACAGAUUUGAAGAGAAAAAAAGCCCAAACCGGACAGCAAGUAGUCCAUGCAAUUUCAGCGCGUCUAGAGAAGUUCCGAGGCGAGUUUUGGCGAGUUUUGGCCAAUUUCGAGAAAAGUUAAGGAGGUAUCAAGGCAAGCCGAAUUUCAAUUAAUCCCGAAAAAGGUACGUUAUAUGAUGGUAUGGUAAAGCAAGGAGAAGGUUAUGAUACCGAGCUCAUGACGUGCCGGGUACGAUAUAUGUAUAUAAUGACUCCAUAAGGGAAAAUAAGAGAGUAUGUAAAGUUGCCCCUUCUUUCUUUCGGCAUGACUUAAUACUAAGUAAGGAUUAAUAUAUACCUUGAGGGUGAUUCAUGAUUUCUCUUCUAAGAGAUUCUCCGGUAGUUAAUGUCCUUGACUUUUAUAAGUUAUUUUAUAUCGUCUUGAUUCAUGCCUAUGAUUUCUAAGGCUCUUUUGAUAUGAUCAAUAGUAAUAUUUGAGGAAUGAGUGAUAUGACUAUCGUCUUGAUUUUCAAAUAACAAUUCGUCGUUACUACUUCAUUGAGUCUUGGACAAUGAUUUCAAUUGUGUAUGGUUACUCACUAUUCCACUCGUGUAUACUGUUAUACAUCUUUCACCGAGUUCCAGGCCGGCUAAAAUAUACUUAUAUGAUAAAAGGAUUGGGCCGAACGCUUCUCGGCAUUAUUAUAUGAUAUAUGGAUCGGGCCGAACGCUCCUCAGCAUUAUUAUAUGAUAUAUGGAUCGGGUUGAACAUUCCUCAGCAUUACUAUAUGAUAUAUGGAUCGGGUCGAACGUUCCUCGGCAUUACUAUAUGAUAAAUGAAUCGGGUCAUACGUUCCUCGAUAUUAUUAUAUGAGAUAGAACUAAUAGCACAUAGAUGCUUAUGAUAACAGAGUGAUGUGGUUGUUACACCGGGUCCCCGAACGUGCUAGGUACCGUAUGUGAUGAUAGUAUGUACAACUUUAUUUUAUGAGAUGCAGGUACAAUGGUUUGUUGAAUGUUAUACUUGCUCCUGCAUCCCUAAGCCAACUGUAAUUUUCUUAUGAUGUUUAUGCUUAUAUACUCAGUACAUAUGUCGUACUGACUCCCCUUUAUCGGGGGGCUGCGUUCAUGCCCGCAGGUGCAUACACACACUUGGGGGAUUCGCCAGCGUAGGAGUCCCACUCAGCAGUUCAGAAGCGCUCCAUUGUGCUGGAGCCUAGAUUUUGGAUACUAACCUUCGAUGUAUAUAUUUAUUUAUUUACGGGUACGACGGGGGACCUGUACCGCCUUAUGUUACGGCUCUUACUCUUAGAGGUCGGUGGACAUUUCUGUGGGUUGUAUAUGUAUGUAUGUACAGUUGUCCUCGUAUGUUACGAUAGCCUCAUCGGCCUAUAUGUUAUCGUGCUUGGUGGUACAUUAUGACUCAAACCGGGGAUAAGUUUACUUAUAGUUA